UCAAAGUUGGAAAAUCGAGUUUUCGGGGGUACUACGGCACGAACUCUCUAGGCUUGCCACUAUCGACGAAGGGCGCUUCAAAAGAGCUUCUCAUUUCUAGCUUCACUUUAGUGUCGCGAGUCUUUGCUGACGGACGGAUUGAGAGUGAGAGAGAGAGAGGAAGAUCCAUCCAACAACCGUUUUCUUGGAUAGGAAAAUGGGUGCCGACAAAGACCAAGAUGCUCCCCAAUUAUUGGGAGCCACGGCUUUCAAACCCAAGGAGAGGGUAGGAGCCGAUCGAUACACUCAUGUCUUGUGGGAUAAGGAGACCGGUGAAGUGUGCACCCGUACCCCGAGAUCGUGGGCCUUGAUCACGAUCUUCUAUCUCAUUUACUAUUCCUGCUUGGCCUGCUUCUGGUACGGUAUGUUAUGUCUUUUCUUCACCACCUUACCGGAGGGUCGUCCCAAAUGGAUUGAUACUGAGAGCUUAAUUGGGGCCAACCCUGGCCUGGGAUUGCGCCCUGAGCAGCCCGAUGUAUCCAUCAGCUCGUCUAUUCUGUUGCUGAAGAAGAACGCCAAAGGAGAGAAAUACUCCAGGGACUUUGAGACCACCAGCAACAUCGAUUGGGCCAAACGUUACGAAAAGUACCUGAAGCAAUACGGCAACACCACGCUCAAGAGGAACUGUGAUGACUCUGCCUAUGGAGAGUCGGAUGAGCUCGGUUGCAUCUUUGACACUGCUGUGCUGGGCGAAUGUGGUACCUUUCCUUAUGGCUAUGAAUUGAAUGGCGCCGAAGAAACCGUUUCUCCAUGUGUUCUUGUCAAGCUCAACCGCAUUUUUGGAUGGACUCCCCAACCCUACGAGAACAUCGAUGAUGAUCAAGAUCCAGAGGAUCCCGUGCCCGACAGAGUGAGAAAGUUGGUGGCGCAAGACCCCAACAAUAUUUAUGUGCAUUGCGAGGGAGAGAAUCCUGCUGAUGUGGAGGCUUUAGAUGGGAAUGUGAAGUAUUUCCCCGACAAUCAGGCCAUCCCGUUCAAGUACUUUCCUUUCAAUCAACCUGCCGAUCUCUACCAUAGCCCCGUAGUGGGUGUCAAGUUCUCCAACAUGCCUGUGGGUCAAUUGAUCCACAUUGAGUGCAAGGCAUGGGCUAAAGAUAUCUCUCACGACCGAAAGGAUCGUCUUGGUCUGGUGCAUUUCGAGAUCUUGCUCCAGUAAAAGGCCCUUCUCUCCUCAUUUCUUCCUAUCAGUGAUAUUCCCUUAUUAUAGGGCCACACCCAACCAAGUUGACAAGUCUCUAUUCUGUCUACGAAUGUGUUGCUACUGCAGUGAGCCUUCAGUAGUAGGAUACAUCCUAUGACGCGAUUGAGCAUCCAAACAUCCCUUCAAGUGCACACUCGUGUUCCUCACAUCAUAGGAGGAAGAGACAUCUACGCCUAUCAUGACUCGAUCAUAUUGACCAUCAACACCCAAGUGCCUCUCAAAGAAAACAAAACAAAAAGAAACGAUAUGUGUUGCGUGUGCGCCCCUCCGCCCCUCCCUCCCUGUCCUUACCCACUCCUCGUCAGUGUUUUUGAAAAACAAUCCCUCACGUAUCAAGAAACCAGCGUCAACAUUUCCCUCACUCUCAUCUUUUCCCGCAAGAGGUCGACCAGUGCCUUACAAAUCACACGCACAUCAACCUCUUGCUUGGCCAAUGCAAAGAUCAGCCCUCCUUCCUCAUUUGAAGGAACUCGUGACACAAAGCUGAAUUCGAAGAAAACGACCAACGUGAGAUCGACUGCAUUUCCUCGAUUCCGUUCCCCUCCCAAUGAAGGAAAGUGAGCCGACAAUUUACAUCCCUCCACACGCCUAGUUCCCCCCGGAUCAUCGGCCUAUCCAACUAUAAACAACCGAGUCCCCACAAGUUUGGCCCCCUCUCAUACCUUCCCCCAAACAGUCCUGCUACAUCUCACAACGAGCUCCCCGUAGUCAGCCAAUUUAGUACUAAAGAAGAAAACAGCAACUCUGGAUGGAACGCGAAGCUAAGACGGAAUCCAAGCCACAAAUGAUUGAGUAGUGUAAAUACGCGUACGACUAGAAGUACGACUACCUAUUUCCGUUUGAGUGGUCACACAGAAUGCGUAUUUGUGAAGAGAACGAUGCGAAUGUGAACCCCGAUCAUAGUGAGAAUGUGCGACCGAAUGCAUUGACGCGUGAAUGAUGGUUUGGAUGAAAAAAUGAAUCCACGCAAUGGUUGCAAUGAGGCUAAGGACAGACUCGUCCGUUGAUCAGGUGAUCACGGAGACUUGGAGAAAGGCAGACGCCUUUCAUGAAUGGCUUGCCUCCCCAAUAAGAACACCCAAUGAAUGUGUCGGUCCCACGCCAAAUUCAACUUGAAGCAAAGAUUAAUUUAGUCUGAUCUCAUAUUUUCUUCCAUACUAUUUUUGUUUCCAAACAGAAAAAAAGCAAAGAAAUUGUGAAAAAAACAUGACGAAGGACUUGUUCCAAACAUAUACUACCUUAAUAAGAGAUUUAUUGACGGAUCUGUUCAGAGCUUGCCACUUGUCGAAUGAAAUAAAGUCUAAUUUUUAUUACACUCCAA